GAUAGAGUUGGGGUUAAUAAGAAAAAGUUGCAAAGGGACCUGGAACACGUAUUUUCUCUCUUUGACGAAGAUAGUGACGGGCUACUCACUUUACGAGAGUGGGAGGCUGUUAGCCAAGACUUGGAUAUACAAAUAAGGGAAGAGUUUCAAAAAGAUGAUACAAUGGAAGAACAAAAAAUAUCUCUGACACAAUUUCUCGAAGAAAUAAACGGGAAACUCCAAGGGCUUUCCGCCGAAGGUGAAGCACAAGAGGCUUUUGAAUUAAUUGAUAAAAACAAAGAUGGUCUAAUAAGUAUGGAAGAACUUCGAGCAGUAUUAAAUACUUUGGGAAAAGAUAUUGAGGAUGAUGAACUUUAUGAAAUGUUAAGAGAGUCCAACAAAAGCGGCACUGGAUUUCUCAAUAA